GCUGGGCGCAAUGGUGUGUGCCUAUAGUCCAGGCUACUCGGAACCUCAGGUGGGAGGAUGGCUUGAGCCCAGGGGUUCUGGGCUGCAAUGUGCUACGGUGAUCGGAAUGUCCGCACUAAGUUCGUCAUCAAUAUGGUCACCUCCCAGGAACAGGGAAUUACCAAGUUGCCUAGGAGGGGUGAACCAUCCCAGGUCAGAAACGGAGAGGGUAAAAACUCCCAUGCUGAUCAGUAGUGAGAUCUCACCUAUAAAUAGCCACUGCACUCUAGCCUGGGUAACAUAGUGAGACUCUGUCUCU
rnacentral:SRP_RNA from 1 species